GGUGAGGUGUCAGAUUUUAUGAGUUGGUUUUAAGCACCAGCUAUGGGAGCAUAUCCCUCUCACUG
rnacentral:tRNA from 1 species